GUAGAACACCAUAAUGAAUCUACUAUAGUUUCCAUGGAGAUCGAUGAUCAUUCCAUGCAGAUUACCAAUAUAACAGAUGAUCAGUGCCAUGUUUGCUUUGGGGAGGUAUCGGGGGCACAUAUGUGCGCAUCAUGUCAUCGUGCUGUCCAUGUAUUUUGCGGUGUUGGAAUAGGGCCAGAAGGCUAUGGGCAAGAAGUAAGGUGUUUCAAAUGCCAGAAUACGGAUAAUUUACUUCAUCCAAACGAAA